rnacentral:lncRNA from 1 species
AAACCGAACAAACGUCCCUUCUUCUUUGGAACCGACUGAAUAGAAAAAAGCCAAAUUUAGAAAUUUAAACCAAGAAAUAAAUGAAUUGAACUUUAAAAAAAAAAGAACUUACGGAUUCAACGAUUUCGUUGAUUCGAAACCGGGACAAGUUGGUCGAAGCCGUCGAAGCGUCAUCCUCGGUUUGAAGCUGAGACACUUCGUCUAACACCUGAGUUUGGACUAGGUCGACCACGUCCCUCACAAGACCGUCAUCAAUCUGGCCGGUCUUCUUGUUGGUAUACGCCCUCCUCAUUAGGGCGAGAUCAUCGACCGGUUCGCCAUCAUUUUCUUCCGCCUUGAAAAAAAACAUAAAAUUAAAGAAACAUUAGAAAUUAGAAGAAAUGCACAAUAAAUUUAAAUUCUGAAACUCAAAUAAUUGAAGAAAAAGCAGUUGAACUUACCAUGCGAUCUCCGAGAGUGUCAAUAGAUUGAGCACCCAAGUUAUGCUUGUAGAUGCCCUUCUCUUUACGGUUGCUCCUGCGGUUGGUGGAGUUGGUGGAAGAAGUUUCUUUCGUCUCCUCCUUAUCCCAAUGCGCACACAACUCCUUACAGACCGUGUCGUUCAUCGACUUUGGGACCUUUUAAUUAAAAAAAAAAGAAAAAGUUUAAUAAAUUAAAAAAUAGUUUAAUAAAUUAAAAAAUUGUUUAAUAAAUUAAAUCGAACCUUAUUGAUUUCCCACUUCUUCUUCCACUCGUGGAUCUGCUUCCCAUAGUUGUCCAUUACUUUAUGGACGAAGUGGUGAUAGAUAAAGAGCGUCUCAUCGGAAUUCCAGUUGAACUCUUGCUGAAAAAAAAACACAAUUAGUAGAAAAUUUAUAUUAAAGAUUAAAAAUAUAAGUAAAAAAUUAGAAUACUUACCGCAAACUGACGAAACCACAGAACCUGCUUGUCGGUUGGGAAGUGAGUGAAAGUCGGAUGUCCACUGUCGAGGGCCGAGUACAUCAUACGGUUGAUCCAUGCGCUGAUCUCGUUCCCGGAUCGGUUGAACCUUAUUAAAAGAACAAACGGUUAAUAAUGAAUCCAAAUUUAAAGAAAAAAAAAUGUUUAAUUACCAUGUUUGACCCCGUCCAUGUGGAUACGGAGUGAGAUACGGAAGAUGGUCACGACCGGGCUGUUGAACCAACUCCGCAACCCUCAUCACUCCCGGAAGACCCGGAGGAACAGGAGCGGAUGCAGCAGCGGGAGCGA